rnacentral:rRNA from 1 species
AUUGAACGCUGGCGGCAUGCUUUACACAUGCAAGUCGGACGGCAGCACAGAGAAGCUUGCUUCUUGGGUGGCGAGUGGCGAACGGGUGAGUAACGCAUCGGAACGUACCGAGUAAUGGGGGAUAACUGUCCGAAAGGACAGCUAAUACCGCAUACGCCCUGAGGGGGAAAGCGGGGGAUCUUAGGACCUCGCGUUAUUCGAGCGGCCGAUGUCUGAUUAGCUGGUUGGCGGGGUAAAGGCCCACCAAGGCGACGAUCAGUAGCGGGUCUGAGAGGAUGAUCCGCCACACUGGGACUGAGACACGGCCCAGACUCCUACGGGAGGCAGCAGUGGGGAAUUUUGGACAAUGGGCGCAAGCCUGAUCCAGCCAUGCCGCGUGUCUGAAGAAGGCCUUCGGGUUGUAAAGGACUUUUGUCAGGGAAGAAAGGGAGCGUGCCAAUACCA